UACGGUCACGUCACUUUUAAACACUGGUUCCUGUAUGAUCACCGAAGUUAAGCAAUGUCGAGCCUGGUUAGUAACUAGAUGGGUGACCGCUUGGGAAUAU